AUUGAACGCUAGCGGCAUGCCUUACACAUGCAAGUCGAACGAGUGGCGGACGGGUGAGUAAUGUAUCGGAACGUGCCCAGUAGCGGGGGAUAACUACUCGAAAGAGUGGCUAAUCCCGCAUACCAUCAGAGUGGCCGAGAUCGGUGUAGCUAGUUGGUGGGGUAAAGGCUAACCAAGGCAACGAUCCCUAGCUGGUGUGAGGGGACGACCAGCCACACUGGAACGGAGACACGGCCCAGACUCCUACGGGAGGCAGCAGUGGGGAAUUUUGGACAAUGGGGGAAACCCUGAUGCAGCAAUCCCGCGUGUAUGAGAAGGCCUUCGGGUUGUAAAGUACUUUUGUCGGGGAGGCGGUAUCUGCAGAAUAAGCACCGGCUAACUACGUGCCAGCAGCCGCGGUAAUAC
rnacentral:rRNA from 1 species